AGUGAACGCUGGCGGCAGGCCUAAUACAUGCAAGUCGAACGGCAGCACAGCAGAGCUUGCUCUGUGGGUGGCGAGUGGCGGACGGGUGAGGAAUACAUGGGAAUCUGCCCAGUCGUGGGGGAUAACGUAGGGAAACUUACGCUAAUACCGCAUGCGCCCUUCGGGGGAAAGCCGGGGACCUUCGGGCCUGGCGCGAUUGGAUGAGCCCAUGUCGGAUUAGCUAGUUGGCGGGGUAAAGGCCCACCAAGGCGACGAUCCGUAGCUGUCUGAGAGGAUGAUCAGCCACACUGGAACUGAGACACGGUCCAGACUCCUACGGGAGGCAGCAGUAGGGAAUAUUGGACAAUGGGGCGCAAGCCUGAUCCAGCCAUGCCGCGUGAGUGAAGAAGGCCCUCGGUUGUAAAGCUCUUUUGUCCGGAAAGAAAAGCGCCGGGUUAAUACCCUGGUGUCCUGACGGUACCGGAAGAAUAAGCACCGGCUAACUUCGUGCCAGCAG
rnacentral:rRNA from 1 species